rnacentral:lncRNA from 1 species
GUUUUAAAAACAGGCGUUUCCCUGCACAAGCUCUCUUCUCUUGCCUGCUGCUGUGUGAGACGUGCCUUUCACCUUCCUCCAUGAUUAUGAGACCUCCCCAGCCAUGUAGAACUGUUGCAGGACAGUGAUGAUGGCUGGGUCCAGAGUCGCAGCCUCCUCCCUCUCAGAAGCUACCCAUUCUGUUAAGAGGCCACAGACAACCACGUUCCUAAUUGUGCAUCCCUCCUUGGGCUUCAGCUCCACUGGCAGAGAGCAGAGAAGAGGAGAAAAGAAGAAACAGCUGAAUGUCGGAGAGAAGCAGAUUGAUUUCAGAGAGACGGCUUGAUGGCGUGACUUCAGAGUUCAGUCCAGCCAGAAAUGACUGUUCUUCACGGGAAGAAUACUUUCCCGCUCCCUCCCCUUUCCAACUCCCCUUCCCACUGAGUGCCACCUCCAUGGGCAAUAAAGUCCUCUGCAUUCACCACCCUUCAA